GGGACAGUAGCUCAGCAGUGAGAGCGGAAGCAAGCCUAGUGACAUUUUUCAGUGAACAGACAAGUAGCUGACACGAGGGCGUUCGACAUCAAGGUCGUGGGUGCAAAUCCCACCUGUCCCA
rnacentral:tRNA from 1 species